UACGUAGGGGGCAAGCGUUGUCCGGAAUCAUUGGGCGUAAAGAGCGUGUAGGCGGCUUGGUAAGUCCGCUGUGAAAGUCCAGGGCUCAACCCUGGAAAGCCGGUGGAAACUGUCAAGCUUGAGUCCGGAAGAGGCGAGUGGAAUUCCUGGUGUAGCGGUGAAAUGCGCAGAUAUCAGGAGGAACACCAAUGGCGAAGGCAGCUCGCUGGGACGGUACUGACACUGAGACGCGAAAGCGUGGGGAGCGAACAGG
rnacentral:rRNA from 1 species